rnacentral:lncRNA from 1 species
GAGGAUGUUUUGGUCUAGUGAUAUUUUAGAUUCUAAUCAUCAUUUAUAUAUUAAUAAAUAUAGUUUAUAAGGUUUACCAAAAAAAAAAAACAAAAAUAAAUACAGUUUAUAUAUGUUGACACAAAAGGUAACUUAUGAUAUGAUAUGAAAGUCUGCGCUCUUUUUUUUUUUUUUUCUUAAAGUAUAUUCCGAAUUAUUAUUUUGGUAUUUUUAAAUGUCCAAAAAAGAUCUAUAACUACUAAACAUGGGCGGUUGAGACUUAACAAGUUGUCUCCUAAUCUAUAGUGCUUAAUACAUGCAUUAUACACGUUACUAGCUUUG